GACGAACGCUGGCGGCGUGCUUAACACAUGCAAGUCGAACGGAAGGGCCCUGCUUUUGUGGGGUGCUCGAGUGGCGAACGGGUGAGUAACACGUGAGUAACCUGCCCUUGACUUUGGGAUAACUUCAGGAAACUGGGGCUAAUACCGGAUAGGAGCUCCUGCUGCAUGGUGGGGGUUGGAAAGUUUCGGCGGUUGGGGAUGGACUCGCGGCUUAUCAGCUUGUUGGUGGGGUAGUGGCUUACCAAGGCUUUGACGGGUAGCCGGCCUGAGAGGGUGACCGGCCACAUUGGGCCUGAGAUACGGCCCAGACUCCUACGGGAGGCAGCAGUGGGGAAUAUUGCACAAUGGGCGGAAGCCUGAUGCAGCAACGCCGCGUGCGGGAUGACGGCCUUCGGGUUGUAAACCGCUUUCGCCUGUGACGAAGCGUGAGUGACGGUAAUGGGUAAAGAAGCACCGGCUAACUACGUG
rnacentral:rRNA from 1 species